CGUAUGAUAACUCAAGAACGCAUACGCCUAGGAUCAUGAAACUUCAUAGGUAGAUUGAUCAUGACUUGCAGAUGACCCCUAUUGUUUUUGAGGUCACUAGGUCAAAGGUCAAGGUCACGGUGACCUGAAAUAGUAAAAUGGUUUUCGGAUGAUAACUCAAGAACGCUUUUGCCUAGGAUCAUGAAACUUCAUAGGUAGAUUGAUCAUGACUCGCAGAUGACCCCUAUUGAUUUUGAGGUCACUAGGUCAAAGGUCAAGGUCACAGUGACAAAAAUCGUGCUCACACAAUGGCUGCCACUACAAUGGACAGCCCAUAUGGGGGGCAUGCAUGUUUUACAAACAGCCCUUGUUAAAUGAUCAUUUUGAACGUGCAAAUAAAACAGUUUGGUUAUCCAUAAACACUG